rnacentral:rRNA from 1 species
UACGGAGGGUGCGAGCGUUGUCCGGAAUCACUGGGCGUAAAGGGCGCGUAGGCGGCCUGAUAAGUGGGGGGUGAAAUCCUGCGGCUUAACCGCAGGGCUGCCUUCUAAACUGUCAGGCUAGAGCACGGUAGAGGCAGAUGGAAUUCCCGGUGUAGCGGUGGAAUGCGUAGAGAUCGGGAAGAACAUCAGUGGCGAAGGCGGUCUGCUGGGCCGUUGCUGACGCUGAGGCGCGACAGCGUGGGGAGCAAACAGG